rnacentral:miRNA from 1 species
CUGAUGUGGGUUUUCGCGCGCU